rnacentral:rRNA from 1 species
AGUGGCGGACGGGUGAGUAACGCGUGAGAAUCUGCCUUGGGGUCGGGGACAACCACUGGAAACGGUGGCUAAUACCGGAUAAGCCGAUUGGUGAAAGAUUUAUUGCCCGAAGAGUAGCUCGCGUCUGAUUAGCUAGUUGGUGAGGUAAGAGCUCACCAAGGCAGCGAUCAGUAGCUGGUCUGAGAGGACGAUCAGCCACACUGGGACUGAGACACGGCCCAGACUCCUACGGGAGGCAGCAGUGGGGAAUUUUCCGCAAUGGGCGAAAGCCUGACGGAGCAAGACCGCGUGAGGGAGGAAGGCUCUUGGGUUGUAAACCUCUUUUCUCAGGGAAGAAGCUCUGACGGUACCUGAGGAAUCAGCCUCGGCUAACUCCGUGCCAGCAGCUGCGGUAAUACGGAGGAGGCAAGCGUUAUCCGGAAUUAUUGGGCGUAAAGCGUCCGCAGGUGGCGAUUCAAGUCUGCUGUCAAAGCACGGGGCUUAACUCCGUAAAGGCAGUGGAAACUGAAUAGCUAGAGUGCCGUAGGGGUAGAGGGAAUUCCCGGUGUAGCGGUGAAAUGCGUAGAGAUCGGGAAGAACAUCGGUGGCGAAAGCGCUCUACUGGACGGCAACUGACACUCAGGGACGAAAGCUAGGGGAGCGAAUGGGAUUAGAUACCCC